CAGGGACCUGAAUGCUGGGAUUGGGGAGCAGCAGCUGGAAACACAGGCAUGAUUCUGAUCCUCCUCUCCAUUGAUUCACGUUAUUUAUCUGAAAAAGCCUGUGCAGCGCUUUUCCCCCUGUUUGGCAUUGGACAGCCAAGGACAGAAGUCUAAAAGCAGGCAGGUUAUUCUCCAAAUGCACCACAAAACAACAGCAACAACGAGGUGGCCGUGACCUGGAGAAGCCAAAAGCCUGCUCCUGUCCUCCCCUGAGACGCGCUGGUUGUGCAGCUGGGAGUUCUCUAAAGGAUUUCACAGCAGCUGAGCUCAUGC